AUUGAACGCUGGCGGCAGGCCUAACACAUGCAAGUCGAACGAGUGGCGGACGGGUGAGUAAUGUCUGGGAAACUGCCCGAUGGAGGGGGAUACCUACUGGAAACGGUAGCUAAUACCGCAUACCAUAGGAUGUGCCCAGAUGGGAUUAGCUUGUAGGUGAGGUAACGGCUCACCUAGGCGACGAUCCCUAGCUGGUCUGAGAGGAUGACCAGCACAACGGGAACUAGUCCGCGGUGCCGACUCCUACGGGGGGCAGAAGGUGGGAAGAGGUCACAAGGGGCGGAAGCCGAAUGCAGCCAUGCCGCGUGGAUGAAGAAGGCCUUCGGGUUUUAAAGUACUUUCAGCGGGAAGGCGUUACCCGCAGAUGAAGCACCUGCUAACUCCGUGCAAGCAGCCGCGGUAAUAC
rnacentral:rRNA from 1 species